rnacentral:snoRNA from 1 species
AAGCAUUCUCAAACCCCCCUGGUUGUGUUAUAGCUUCCAGGAUAAGGAUGAAUGCAAGAGAAACUGUAGAACUAUCCAAAAUGCAGAGCUUUUCCUCAUAGCGCUGCAUUAUUUCACAUCUUCAACAGUG